GACGAACGCUGGCGGCGCGCUUAACACAUGCAAGUCGAGCGAGAACCAGGACUUCGGUCCUGGGGACAGCGGCGAACGGGUGAGUAACACGUGGAUAACCUGCCCUCGGCACCGGGAUAGCCCGGGGAAACUCGGAUUAAUACCGGAUGGCCCUUCCGGCUCACGAGCCGGUCGGAAAAGGUAGCUUCGGCCUCCGGCCGAGGAUGGGUCCGCGGCGGAUUAGCUUGUUGGUGGGGUAACGGCCUACCAAGGCUCCGAUCCGUAGCUGGUCUGAGAGGACGAUCAGCCACACUGGGACUGAGACACGGCCCAGACUCCUACGGGAGGCAGCAGUGGGAAAUCUUGCGCAAUGGGCGAAAGCCUGACGCAGCGACGCCGCGUGAGGGAGGAAGGCCUUCGGGUUGUAAACCUCUUUCAGGAGGGACGAAGCUACUCGGGUGAAUAGCCCAGAGGGUGACGGUACCUCCAGAAGAAGCCCCGGCUAACUACGUGCCAGCCGCCGCUGUAACAC
rnacentral:rRNA from 1 species